UAGACUAAGCGUUACUAGAAUAAAAAUAUGUAUCUAAAUAUGAUUACAGCUUCUCCCCAAGCCUAAGCAGGGAGGGGAGGUGUGACGGAUUAUCAGUUCGAUUAUGGUUAGUGUUAGUGUAGGUAGGUAAGGUACAGACUUUACAAUUUGUUAUAUUUUGUACAAAUUUCAACAAAAAAUCAAAUGAGAGUUUCUUUCACAAAAAAUGUGAGUGAAAUAUUGUAACUCAGUAAAAGAGAACCAAAUUGGCCCAAGCUAAGCGAUGGCAAAAGCUUUGGAAAAAAAUUAAAAUUUUGAUGAUAGAUCGGCCAUUUUGUCGGCAAAUAAACGAUAAUCAAAACGCCUACCCUUCCUUAAACAUUUCAGACAUUGACCCUACAAUUCCUGACAUCAAACAGAUGGAAAACAUUCUUAGAUUCAUCAAAGAAAUCAAUCUGUCACAUGUGAGCGUUGUACCUAGAGGUAUCAGACCAAGAUUAUUUAUUACAUCUCCAGAAUUUUCAUGUUCUUGAGUUAGCUCAAUAAAAGGCGACGGAUACUUAAUGAAUUUUUGUUUCAAAAAAUGUACAAACGAAUAGAUACAUCCAGUUAACGUAGUAGGUAGGUACUUAGCUACCUACCAUUGAAAAGUAGAUUUUCAAAAGUAUCGAUACCUAUCGAAGCCCUUCCUGCUCGUCUCCGUCUCUUCAUAUCAAAUCAAAUAAUUCGAUUUGAGAGCUGUAUAAUGUAUGUACUAUGGUAUGGCUCCUAACUAUGCGUAUCCAUGAUGUGUGGAAGUGUGGAUCAAAAUAAUAUCAUUCCUACCUGCGCAUUUGUAAGUGGGUACAAAAAUAUAUAUCUUUGCAGUUUACGUUCGUAUAGAGUAGGAUUAGAGUGGAGAUGGUGGAUAACCUUGUUGGCAAGGGACAACGUCAACUGGAAGGGGGAACCGGUUCGUAUGCGCGAAUAUGCAUCCCUGUGGUCGUGGCUGUCAAGUUGAGUUAAUUAAUUUGAGAAUUAGUUAGUACUAUGUAAUUGUAUGAACUGUUAAUGUGUAUCAAUGUUUCAAUAUUUUCGUGUUUUUUUUUUCGGGUUCUGAAUGAGUAGGUAUACUUAUUUCCUUUUUUUUUUUUAAAGAGGAGUGACCGCGACGGGAAAAUGUUAGAUGAAGGUACCUACUCAGAAAAAGUGAAGAAUUUUUUUAAAAGAUGGCAGCGCUGCGUGAUGGAUGUUGCCACGUCGAAUGGCGGAUUCCUGGAGCAUGUAGCUAUUUUACUGUCGUCUUCGCAGUUUCAAGAUCAAGAUAUCUUUAAAAAAAAAAAGCAAUGCUUGUAAAAGCAAGACAUCUCAGUAACAUGGAAAACUGGCUUCCACUAUUCAAUUUAAUGAAUUUGGUCAAAUGAAAAUAAUCGUUUCAAUAGAAUCCACAGUUUUGGGUUUAGGAAGAUUAACGAGGUCAAACUGAAUCUUGAAUUUUCAUUACCUAUUCAUCGCCCGGAGGAGUACGUCGCUUACGUUGCAUGAUGAGUAAAAAUUCCCGGAAAUUUUACAUGUAAUUUUUUGCGAACUACAUAUAUAUAUUAUUAAGUACCUU